CAAUCGAGCAGCACCUAUCUUGAUUGCAUUGGAAGUGGUGCUAGAAAUCACCUAGGCAUAGGUUGCCAGCCAAGGCAGUUUGUUUUAAAUCCGCUCCUCUCGUAUACUAGACCCUCUCUAGUUCUAACUAGUUUUCAAUCCGACAAGUAGCCUUACAUAGAUCGGGCUUUUCCGCUGCCACUGCCGUUCCGCUUCCGCUGUCAUUGUGAUUGGGCCUUGACUGCACCGUUUGAAGAAAUCAUGUAAAUUUCUGCGAGAUAUAGCGCACACAAAAUUAACGCUAGACUUGACCUAAAUUAUCACGAUAUUUCGAGAAAAUUUAAGCGCAGUAUCGCAUAAAUUAGCAAUAUUGUUGUCAAGCUUGUAAACAAUUCCGUUGUUUAUGCUACCUGUAGCUCAGAAUUAAAUAAGAGUAUAUUUUACGCGAUAGUUAAAAUUAAAAAAAAUCUGUAUGAGAGCAGGGAUGCCAGAUGGUUUUGAAAAAUGUGUUCAACACAAUUGAAAAAUGGUGGUGAAAUCAAAGGAUAAUUUGAAGAAAAUUACGACGAGUGCAUCACAAAAAUUACAAGAAUUCUACCAUCCAUUGACGGCAAUCGAAUGUGCAGAAAGGCAGCUUCCGCACCUGCGUAGGAUUUCGCACCCAUUCAACACACAUGGGCCGGGACCAACGGCUUUACUUCCCUUUCGAAGGAAGACGUGACCAGAGAUUUUUAUGCCUAAGAAAAAUCCCACCGACCUCGACUGGGAUUGAACCCAGACCCCUUGGGGUGAGAAAGCAGUCACGCUUACCACUACACCACCGGCGCCGGCCUAAAGCCGUCUUUUGAGGUUCGGGAAGAGAUAAUAGUCUGAGGGAGCCAAAUCGGGCGAAUACGGUGGAUGCGGAAGCAAUUGGAGCCGUAAGUCAUUGAUUUUAGCCGUGGUUGCGAUGCUCUUGUGCGCCGGCGCAUUGCUUUGCAAAAACAAAAGAAAAUUCGCUUCAUGUGUGGCUAUUUUGCAGCAAUUUCGGCCUUCAAUCGCUAAAAUAAUGCACGGUAAUACUCGCUGUUGAUGGUUUUUCCUUUUUUCGAUGUAGUUCACGAAGAGUAUGCCAUGACAAUCCCAGAAAACCGACGCCAUAACCUUUCCGACCCAUCGAGCCUCCCUCGGCCGCUUCGGAGCACUCGUGCUGGCUUCAGUCCAUUGCCGGGCACUCAUUCUGUUCUCUGGGGUGUAAUAGUGGAUCCAGGUUUCAUCAACAGUCUUCAAUCGACGCCAAAAGUCCGCCCGAUUCCGUAUCAGCAAGUCCAAACGCUCUUUCGAAGUGCUCUCGCGUUCGUGUUUUUUGUCAGAAGUGAGCUUGCGCGGCACCCAGCGUCAUGAUAACUUUUUCAUAUGCAGAAUCUCACCCAAAAUAUGGCGUGUGCGCUCAGUACUAAUCUUUGCGGUAUCUGCUAGCUCGCACACCUUCACUUUCUGGUCAGUCAAAACCAUUUCACGUAUUUUUUGACAUUGCCGGUUGCUUGCCAGACAAAGAACUUAACAUUUUACAUUCUUCCGGGGCACUCUUCCGGUCAACAUUCCUGCCCAGGAAUUUCAUCGAAAACUGCCAAAUUCAAAAGUUUUGCUAGCUAUCGAGCGGAUAGACUGGGAUUUUUGUUUCGAGCGUGCGGGAUCGAAUCGCAACGUGCUUGCUCCGGUGAAGCCAUGUUGCAAACAAAUGAACUUAUACCUUUUACGUCGAUUUUUCCUUUUAAUUCUACUACUUUUGUAUCACUUUCACUUUCACUUAUUCAUUUUCACUCUUUACUUUCAUUAUCACUUUGAACUAUAACAGAUACGUAUUUCGUUUACAACUUGCAAACUUCUUCAGUGUCUAGUUCAGUUUUAUAGUUCAAAGUGAUAGUGAAAGUGAAUUAGUGAAAGUGAAAGUAAAAGUAAUACAAAAAUAGUAGAAUUAAAAGGAAAAAAAACGACGUAAAAGAUAUACAAUUAUUCUAAUAAAACGCUCAUCAAUAAAUUUAAAUGAACUUAUCCUGACCGCCAAUGCCUACUGUGACUCUAUACACUUUUAGUUUGAUUCAGUGAAAUUAAGAAAAAAUCUCAACAAUUGUCUUAAUGGCAGCGUUUUUAAUGUUUCCGGAUUUUUUCGUGUUCAACCUUUUCUACUUGUUGUUUACUGUGCAGAUUCAAGCAAUGUCUGAAAAUUACUGAUUUAUUUAUUUCAGUUUUCUUGAAUUUGCGAAGGGUGAUAAGGGGGCAUUCACAAACUCUGUUGGAGAUUACAUAAAUCUCUUGAAAUCCUUUAAGCAUCCUUUGAAGUCCUCUGAAAAUCCCUAUAAGUUCCUGGAAUGUCUACAAAAUGGUCAAUUCGGUUCAUUUGAUGGAACGGAAAGUUCCAUAGACUUUUAUUUGCUGAACUUGGAGAACAUUUUCUUCGACAAUGUACCCCUCUAACCUCGGGUAAGCUGCGAGUAUUAGACCCAACUCCUACUGGACAUAGAAUUAAGUGAAUUUUGUUACAAAUUAUGAACAAUGAAUUAUCGGCUCCGUAAAGCUAACGCAAUUGCGCGAACUGGAUAAAAAAAAAACUUCGAGAACAAGUCCGGACGAUUGCAGGAGACUUUAAAGGUAAACCCAAGAUUUUUAAGUUCCGAUGACCAUCUGUUGCUGCUUUAAAGUCUCGUGUGUCAAGGAUAGUCUUCUGGGUACUUUUUGGUUCAAUAUUUGAGGUAAGAGAUAAGUUCGAAUGACGAUUCUGAUGACUCUCAGUAAAUUCAAAAAGCAUUGUCCUGAAGUUCUUUUAGACUUGCUUCUUGAACUGUAGGUUCUUGAAGUCCACGAAGCAUGUCUUACAAUUUCUUAGAAGUAUUGGGAAGAAUGACUUGAGGUUCAUUUCAACACGUUUCCAUUUGAGGGUCCGAGGAUUGGAUUUGAUGUGAUUCAAGAUGUCCCAAGGCGAUGAUAGGAAAAAAAAUUGCUAUUCGAUCAGAAAUUCCAAUGAACUUCUGGGUGAUGAGGAUUAAUCUAGGCCUAGGGUAUAUUUAGGGUUCUGCGGAUGACGGUUAUAUAUUUACAAGACUUGCCUAGUACUAAUUUGGGUUUUAUGAGGGCUCUUUAGAACAAGAUUUAGACUUGUAGAAUGCUUUAAAACCUCAUUAAAACUUGCAAUGUUACCAUGGUUCUAAGUUAUUGAAGCCGUCUCCCUUGGUUCUUGGUACUGCUCACAGAAUGCUGUGUACUUGACCUAAAGGGCGAACACGAAAUUAUUGCGACACCGAAAAUGUCAUGCCAAUUUUCUUAUAAUGUUUAGAAUCAAACCAAAAUUUUAGGGUAGUUUUAUACAUAUAUUUACUUCAAAAAUCAAAAGAAAAGUUAAUCGAUGGAA